UCUCCUGUAGCUCAGUGGUAGAGCGUCCGACCAAUGUGCGGAAGGUCAUAGGUUCGACUCCUGUUGGGGGAA
rnacentral:tRNA from 1 species